CGUAGCCUGUGUUCGGUUCGCAGAGUGGUUGAAUAAUAAGUGACCAUGGGCGUAAACUCGAGAGCUCAGAUACCUGAGGACAACUGAGGAGAAGAUGCUGCUGUUGUGUGAACCUCAUGACCCCACGAGGUUCUCCUGUUAGAGGUUUCUGCUGCUGGAAAGUGUGGAGCCUUUAAGAAGGAGACUAUGGGAUGUCACUUCUUUCUCUUCCAAGCCACAGGUGGAAUAGCAGUGGACGCGCCUCAGCGCAGGACGGCACCUGUCAUCACUGACUCCGCGCCAUGGACUGCCAGUUUGAGGGUCUCUGCCCCUCUGCUUGCCCAGCAUAAAGCAAAAGACUGCAGAGGCACACUCAGGUGACCUGAGAAAACUCAAAAAGAAGGAGAAGAAGAAGAAGAAGAAGAAGAAGAAGAAGAAGAAGAAGAAGAAGAAGAAGAAGAAGAAGAAGAAGAAGAAAAAGAAGAAGAAGAAGAAGAAAAAGAAGAAGAAGAAGAAGAAGAAUGCUGUGCUAUUGUCAUUGUGGGGCAUGCAGUGCAAGUUUUUGUUCGGUUUGAAGAUAGAGGAGAGAAUCCAGCUGGCCUUGUCAAUCACCUGCCCAGGAGUCCAGCCCUCCAGAAAAACUGGUCCAUCUGAAGACAAGCUAAGGAGACUAGCGGAGUCUACUACACUGCUCGGAGUCUGUCUGCUUUUCUGAGUUACUCAGAAAAGUGUAGCUUUUCUAUUUCUUUUGGAUCCUGAUCAAAACCUGAGCAUGCUUUCCCUGCACUCGGGGCUUUCUCGUUCAUUUUCUAAGCUCCCCACAUCUUCCUCAAUGUUGCUGUGUGUCUGCCACACAGCGGCUUGUCAACCUCCAUCACUGCAUCUGCCGGCUUUCCUGGGCUGUAAGUCCCAAACCAGCCUUCUCUCAUCCUUUCUAUCUUCCUCUUCCUGGUAGCUGCGGAAAUUUACAUCUUGCCUACCCUAUUCUUAUUUUUUUUCCAAGCUCAUAAAACUGUCCCAAGAGUCCUCGGUUUCUAAAUUCUUUUUAUCAAUGAAACUAAGAGCCCUGCAGAAGGAACCCCAGUUCUUCUGGUAACAGUGUGGUCUAGUGACACCAAGGCAAAAGGGCUCUGUGUCCCCCUCUGCACCAUGAAUGGUCCCCUACGUCUACUGCUCUUCCACACUUUGCAGGAUUUUUCCUCCACAGCACUGCCCAUGAAAUCUGGAGCUAUUUUGCACUUUGAGACUGGUUGGGAUGGUCCAAGUGAUGAUGUAAAAUUAGGGAAAUUUGUAGAAUUGUAUAAUUUAUACUGGCCUUGUCACCAUAUAACAAAAUUGUGAGUCCUUGAAGAGUUUAUUAAACCAUCAUGUCAUAUGUCUCAUCAACGGUAAGAAUUUAGAUGAGCUCCGAUUUCUCAAAUAGGAAUCAAUAAUUUUCUAAAACACCCUUCAGUGUUUUUGAGUUGCUUCUCUGAAAGUGAUGUCUAGUGAAGCAUCUCAAAUUAGACAGAUUCACAAAUAUGUUUUACUGAAAGAAAUUAGAACCUCAAGAUGUUCUCUGAAGCAAUCGCAUUAACUCAUCCUUUUCGUUGCUUCAUGGUCAGAGAUUUUUCUGGUAAUAAGGUUUCUGUUGUGCUACUUCUGUGUGGCUUGCUCCUCUACCAGGCCUUUCUUUGCUGUCUAAAUAGAAAAAUGUGUGCAUAGCCUGGUGCAACAGAAUAGUGGUUAGGACCACGUGGAAGCCCUAGGGGUCUGUCUUCAUGGCAGAAGGACAUCUAACAACACGUCUAAGAGGAGAGAAUCCUGAGCUGAAGGAUUUGGAGGAGAGAAAGAAUUGAAUCUGAAAUAAUGCCAAGAAUUAUAAAAGCCAUGUUGAUGUUAACUACUGAUGGCCACUGAAAUUCAUUCAUUCACCCACUGGAGUUUGAUUAGUGUCACUUACGUGUUCUGUGAACCAGGCAGCAAUCUGCGUGUUGGGAAUAGAGCAGUGAAGACAGAUAAAUCCCUCAUCUAACAUGGAAGUUCGCAUUCUUCUAUGUGGAGAUGCAAACAAUGCGUUAACAUGUAUCAUGUCAGCUGGUAAUAAGAGCCCAAAGUUAGAAUGACAGUGACAAACUGAGAAGGAGGAAAAAUGCACAUGCACACAUACACACACACACACACAUACACACACACACA